GGUUACGGAUCACCUCUUGGAGCUGGAGGUCAAGGUCCAUAUGGAGGUGCAGGUGCAGGGAAGGAUGGCAGCAAGGCUGGAGGAGCAGGUUACUACGGUACCGGCAUCAAAGGCUGAUUUCCGGGCCCCUGAGGUGUGACCCAGUGUGACGACGUUGUGGUGGUGGUGCUGUCCUCAUCCUCCCCCCUCCCCCCUCUCUCGCCCCUCUCGCCCGUCCUCGUCAUCUUUCGUGACCUUUUCUCUUGUUCUUGUUGACCUGGUGCUUAUGGUUGUUGUCUCCUGCUGUCUCUGUGUGUCCAUGCAGUCCUUCUGUUGUGUUUUGUUCUGUUGUUUUGGGUCCGAAUGUUUUGUGUCAUGUCCAUUCCUUGUCUCUGUAUCUAACUAAAACCUCUUGAGCACUUCUUUUGGUUGUUAUUGUCAAUUCUUAUUAACACUAAAAGUGUCUCCUCACUCA